rnacentral:rRNA from 1 species
AAGAAGAAGAGGAAGCGAGAAACUGUGAAGCAAACAAAAUGCCAUGCUAAGAUGGUGCUGAAGCUUAAAGAUGACAGAUGGGAGGUUAUCACUUUUAUUGCAGAUCACAACCAUCCACUGAUUGACAAGCCAUCGCUUUCGAAAUACCUCCGUUCUCACCAAGGCAUCCCGCCGGAACAGAAAAAAUUUCUGACUCACCUAAACGACAGCAACUUGAUAGCAGGAAAGAUGUUGUUGUUAAUGUCAUCAUACUACGGCUCGGAGUUGAUUGUUCCGUACACAGCUAAAGCCAUCCAUAACCACUGUUCGAAGGUCAAUGCCCCAACUAAAGACAUUGACAUUCAAGAAACACUAAACUACUUUUCAAGGUGA